CCCUCCGUAAAAGGGGCCUGCGGGAGGGUCAUUAAAGAUUAUGAAUGAAUAGAUUACUGGGGGGAUCGUCUGAACAAGGCCUGCGCUUAAUUGCGCGGCCAGUUCUUGAUUCUCUGCUAUCAGUUUUCUAUUUCUCAUCCUAAACACAAUGGGGUUUUUUCUCUAUGAACUACUUCCCUGGGGAGCUCGUCUCUCCAGUGGGCAUAAACACAAACAAUAUUUUGUAUUAUGAAAAACUAUUAUACUAUAAAAUUUAAUAUUCAAAACUUUCAACAACGGGUCUCUUGGUUCUCGCAUCGAUGAAGAACGCAGCGAAUUGCGAUAUGUAUUGUGAAUUGCAGAUUUUCGUGAAUCAUCAAAUCUUUGAACGCACAUUGCGCCCUCUGGUAUUCCAGGGGGCAUGCCUGUUUGAGCGUCAUUUCUCUCUCAAACCUUUGGGUUUGGUAGUGAGUGAUACUCGUCUCGGGUUAACUUGAAAGUGGCUAGCCGUUGCCAUCUGCGUGAGCAGGGCUGCGUGUCAAGUCUAUGGGCUCGACUCUUGCACAUCUACGUCUUAGGUUUGCGCCAAUUCGUGGUAAGCUUGGGUCAUAGAGACUCAUAGGUGUUAUAAAGACUCGCUGGUGUUUGUCUCCUUGAGGCAUACGGCUUUAACCAAAACUCUCAAAGUUUGACCUCAAAUCAGGUAGGGGUACCCGCUGAACUUAAGCAUAUCAAUAGCCGGGGGGGGAGA
rnacentral:rRNA from 1 species